UAAAAGCAGCGUUGGGAGAGACCUGCAGUCUCUCAGGGGACCGCAAGUGGCAUGAAGACGUGGGACAAUAAGGAGGCGUCAUUAAACCUGUAAUUAACACUUUCUCCCUGCGGAGUGCAGCCAGAAAGUGUGGAUCAGACGGAGAAAUGCUCUCUUUGUAAUAUCUUGAGCCCUGGACAGGAUAUCAUCAUAUACUGUAAGUUCGUUAUAGAGACACUACAGUAUAGAUGAUGUACUAUCCAGGGUGUCAGUCAGCCGCCAGACUCAGGUCGACACGCAAAGACCCCCCCAGGGAUUCCGUCUGAGGGUGGCGAUUAAACCGUUACCAUUACUGAGUUUUAGUAAUGGUAAGGGUUCUACCGCUUCUCUUCACUGCCGUCUGCAGCUGAUAAAAGCCCCCCCAGGCAAGCAGUGACUUGCAAAACUGGAAAGUGUGGAGAAAAAGACUUCUGAAAAUUACGGACAAUCAAGAUUCGGUUGUGUAACCUUUAGUUUACAGUAAACAAAUAAAAACAUAAAACUCAGGAAAAAGAAGGAGACAAUUUUGUAAUUUUUUGGCAUUUAGUAAAGUGUUUAGAAUGGUGAUUAAGCUGUAUAAUUUAACUCAUAAUAUAAAUAUGAGUUUUGAGCUUUCUAAAAUAUAGCAUUUAAAAUAUAUUUUUAUGUAUUAUAUAUAUAUGUAUUUUAUAUUAUUUUAUUUAUAUUGUACAACACAACACGCAACAUUAAAAAAAGGAACAUUAAAUGAUGAAUGAGCAUAUGGUUUUGGAAACGUUUGGAAAUAAAAGAUUCCAUGUUCAA